GCCUGGAUACGCAAAUCGGCAAAGCGGUUCGGCUUAAGCCCGAAUGUUUGCAGGUUCAAAUCCUGCUCUAGGCA
rnacentral:tRNA from 1 species